GGCUCAGGAUGAACGCUAGCUACAGGCUUAACACAUGCAAGUCGAACGAAGAUGCCGGAGUGCUUGCACUUUGGCAGACUGAGUGGCGGACGGGUGAGUAACGCGUGGGUAACCUGCCUUAUACAGGGGGAUAACAGUUGGAAACGACUGAUAAUACCGCAUAAGCGCACAGUACCGCAUGGUACAGUGUGAAAAACUCCGGUGGUGUGAGAUGGACCCGCGUCUGAUUAGCUUGUUGGCAGGGUAACGGCCUACCAAGGCAACGAUCAGUAGCCGACCUGAGAGGGUGACCGGCCACAUUGGGACUGAGACACGGCCCAGACUCCUACGGGAGGCAGCAGUGGGGAAUAUUGCACAAUGGAGGAAACUCUGAUGCAGCGACGCCGCGUGAGUGAAGAAGUAAUUCGUUAUGUAAAGCUCUAUCAGCAGGGAAGAUAGUGACGGUACCUGACUAAGAAGCUCCGGCUAAAUACGUG
rnacentral:rRNA from 1 species